AUUGCCUUAGUAACGGCGAGUGAAGCGGCAACAGCUCAAAUUUGAAAGCUGGCCCUUUUAGGGUCCGCGUUGUAAUUUGUAGAGGAUGAUUCGGCGAGGGCUCCCGCCUAAGUCCCCUGGAACGGGGCGUCAUAGAGGGUGAGAAUCCCGUAUGUGGUGGGCUGCCUUAGCCAUGUGAAUCUCCUUCGACGAGUCGAGUUGUUUGGGAAUGCAGCUCUAAAUGGGAGGUAAAUUUCUUCUAAAGCUAAAUACCGGCCAGAGACCGAUAGCGCACAAGUAGAGUGAUCGAAAGAUGAAAAGCACUUUGGAAAGAGAGUUAAAAAGUACGUGAAAUUGUUGAAAGGGAAGCGCUUGCAACCAGACUUGUCCGCAGUUGCUCAGCCGGUCUCCUGACCGGCGUACUCUUCUGCGGCCAGGCCAGCAUCAGUUCGGGCGGUCGGAUAAAGACCUCGGGAAUGUAGCUCCUCUCGGGGAGUGUUAUAGCCCGGGGUGGAAUGCGGCCAGCCUGGACUGAGGAUCUCGCUUCGGCAAGGAUGCUGGCGUAAUGGUUGUAAGCGGCCCGUCUUGAAACACGGACCAAGGAGUCUAACAUCUAUGCGAGUGUUUGGGUGUCAAACCCAUACGCGUAAUGAAAGUGAACGGAGGUGGGAACCCGCAAGGGUGCACCAUCGGCCGAUCCUGAUGUCUUCGGAUGGAUUUGAGCAAGAGCAUAGCUGUUGGGACCCGAAAGAUGGUGAACUAUGCCUGAAUAGGGUGAAGCCAGAGGAAACUCUGGUGGAGGCUCGCAGCGGUUCUGACGUGCAAAUCGAUCGUCAAAUUUGGGUAUAGGGGCGAAAGACUAAUCGAACCA
rnacentral:rRNA from 1 species